ACCUGACUGCUAUCGGAUUGAUACUAAGCCAUGCGAGUCUUUGUAGUAAUACAAGGCAUACGGCUCAGUAACGCGUAGUCAACCUACCCUAUGGACAAGAAUAAUCUCGGGAAACUGAGCAUAAUUCUUGAUAGAUCAUAAUGCCUGGAAUGGUAUAUGGUUAAAAUGAUUCGUCGCCAUAGGAUGGGACUGCGGCCUAUCAGCUUGUUGGUGAGGUAAUGGCCCACCAAGGCGAUUACAGGUACGGGCUCUGAGAGGAGAAGCCCGGAGAUGGGUACUGAGAUAAGGACCCAGGCCCUAUGGGGCGCAGCAGGCGAGAAAACUUUGCAAUGUGCGAAAGCACGACAAGGUUAGUCCGAGUGAUUUCUGCUAAAGAGAUCUUUUGCUAGUUAUAAAACCACUAGUGAAUAAGGGGUGGGCAAGUUCUGGUGUCAGCCGCCGCGGUAAAACCAGCACCUCAAGUGGUCAGGAUGAUUAUUGGGCCUAAAGCAUCCGUAGCCGGCUCUGUAAGUUUUCGGUUAAAUCUAUGCGCUCAACGUAUGGGCUGCCGAAAAUACUGUAGAGAUAGGGAGUGGGAGAGGUAGACGGUACUCGGUAGGAAGGGGUAAAAUCCUUUGAUCUAUCGAUGACCACCUGUGGCGAAGGCGGUCUACCAGAACACGUUCGACGGUGAGGGAUGAAAGCUGGGGGAGCAAACCGGAUUAGAUACCCGGGUAGUCCCAGCCGUAAACGAUGCAGACUCGAUGAUGCAUUGGCAUAUAGCCAGUGCAGUGUCGCAGGGAAGCCGUUAAGUCUGCCGCCUGGGAAGUACGUACGCAAGUAUGAAACUUAAAGGAAUUGGCGGGGGAGCACCACAAGGGGUGAAGCCUGCGGUUC
rnacentral:rRNA from 1 species